GAAUCAUGAGUCUAUGGGUGUCUGCUGGCUCGCAAGGGCAUGUGCACGCCUGUCUCAUCCACUCUCAACUUCUGUGCACUUUUCAUAGGCCGGCUUGUGGGUGCGUUUGCGCACUUGUAGGUGUCGGGCUUAUGCUUUACUACAAACGAUUCAGUUUUAGAAUGUCAUACUUUGCUAUAACGCAAUUAUAUACAACUUUCAGCAACGGAUCUCUUGGCUCUCGCAUCGAUGAAGAACGCAGCGAAAUGCGAUAAGUAAUGUGAAUUGCAGAAUUCAGUGAAUCAUCGAAUCUUUGAACGCACCUUGCGCUCCUUGGUAUUCCGAGGAGCAUGCCUGUUUGAGUCUCAUGGAAUUCUCAACCUUCAGCUUUAUUGAUGAAGGCUUGGACUUGGAGGUCGUGCCGGCUCUCGUAGUCGGCUCCUCUGAAAUGCAUUAGUGCGAACGUUACCAGCCGCUUCAGCGUGAUAAUUAUCUGCGUUGCUGUGGAGGGUAUUCUAGUGUUCACGCUUCUAACCGUCUUCGGACAAAUUUCUGAACUCUGAGCUCAAAUCAGGUAGGACUACCCGCUGAACUUAAGCAAUAAAAACGGGGGGGG
rnacentral:rRNA from 1 species